UACAGAGGGUGCGAGCGUUAAUCGGAAUUACUGGGCGUAAAGCGUGCGUAGACGGCUAUCUAAGUCGGGUGUGAAAGCCCCGGGCUCAACCUGGGAAUUGCAUUCGAGACUGAAUAGCUAGGGUGCGGUAGAGGGAAGCGGAAUUUCCGGUGUAGCGGUGAAAUGCGUAGAUAUCGGAAGGGACAUCAGUGGCGAAAGCGGCUUCCUGGACCAGCACCGACGUUCAGGCACGAAAGCGUGGGGAGCAAACAGG
rnacentral:rRNA from 1 species